UAGUCCCUGAAUCUCUUAGGGUGUUGCAUUUGGGAAGAACCAACACCAAAAAAUAGGGAACUUGACUCUGGGCGUCUAAUGCAAGCCUCCUUAGGGAGGAAGCGUGAACCGUCUAGGCGGGUACCCACUGUGCAAGGCACGGUUCUUCUUCCAAAUCCGCCCUAAGGAUUCAGGGCUUUU
rnacentral:other from 1 species